rnacentral:lncRNA from 1 species
CCUUGUGUUCUGCUCUAGCUAACUGUGGAUUUCUGACACGCAUUUCUGCAAGCUUCUUGCAAACUCCAGCUCAACCCUGUCACAUCCACUUAUUCCACAGCAGCAUGCUGACACCAGAAAUGUUGGCAUACCUUCUUAUUCUUACUGCAGCCUCAUUUUUACUCCUUGCUUCAUACUUCUGUUUUUACCUAGAGCAGAGCUGACAGCUGCAAAAUCUUGCUUUAGACCCAAGGCCAGCAAGCAGGCUGUCUGCAAUGGGCAGCGUCCGCGGAAGCAAGUAUUCCAAGCCCUCAGACUUCAGCUGCAACCCUCUGAAAGACCAUAACAGUAUAAUUGCAGUGCUUGCAUCAAUUUUAUUUCACAUCUGCCAGGAUAUAAAAGUGAAGGUUUACCUCUUUGACCUCCUUCUUGUAGAGGAUCUCUGUAUAUUGUCUGCUGUUGAGUAAAACGUUGUAGAG